rnacentral:rRNA from 1 species
CAGCAGCCGCGGUAAUACGUAGGUGGCAAGCGUUGUCCGGAAUUAUUGGGCGUAAAGGGCUCGCAGGCGGUUUCUUAAGUCUGAUGUGAAAGCCCCCGGCUCAACCGGGGAGGGUCAUUGGAAACUGGGAAACUUGAGUGCAGAAGAGGAGAGUGGAAUUCCACGUGUAGCGGUGAAAUGCGUAGAGAUGUGGAGGAACACCAGUGGCGAAGGCGACUCUCUGGUCUGUAACUGACGCUGAGGAGCGAAAGCGUGGGGAGCGAACAGGAUUAGAUACCCGCGUAGUCCCUGUCUCUUAUCA